UACGGCUGAUGGAAAAGAUUAAUAGU
rnacentral:piRNA from 1 species